GCUGCACGCUAGGGGUCUCGCCGCUGGAUGCGGCGAGUGAGAGACACCCUCUGAACCUGUACGGGUCAUGCCGUCGUAGGGAAGCGCUCCACACCGCUC
rnacentral:ncRNA from 2 species